rnacentral:rRNA from 1 species
AGUGAACGCUGGCGGUAGGCCUAACACAUGCAAGUCGAACGGCAGCACAGUAAGAGCUUGCUCUUACGGGUGGCGAGUGGCGGACGGGUGAGGAAUACAUCGGAAUCUACUUUUUCGUGGGGGAUAACGUAGGGAAACUUACGCUAAUACCGCAUACGACCUACGUGUGAAAGCAGGGGAUCUUCGGACCUUGCGCGAUUGAAUUAGCCGAUGUCGGAUUAGCUAGUUGGCGGGGUAAAGGCCCACCAAGGCGACGAUCCGUAGCUGGUCUGAGAGGAUGAUCAGCCACACUGGAACUGAGACACGGUCCAGACUCCUACGGGAGGCAGCAGUGGGGAAUAUUGGACAAAGGGCGCAAGCCUGAUCCAGACAUACCGCGUGGGUGAAGAAGGCCUUCGGGUUGUAAAGCCCUUUUGUUGGGAAAGAAAAGCAGCAGGUUAAUACCCCGCUGUUCUGACGGUACCCAAAGAAUAAGCACCGGCUAACUUCGUG